AGGACCUCCUGUGGAGUCUGAGAGUGCUGACAUCACACAGGGCAACAACGUAUAUAUAGAGAUCAGAGAGGGGGACAGACAGAGCAGUUCACCUCCUGCAGACGUGUCCUCAACAGAUGCUGCACCAAAAACCUCCAACCAGAUGGAGAUGAAAACAAUAGACCUCUACAGCCUCUCCACCUCUCCUCACAACAAAGUACAUGCCAGCUCUGCCGACCACACCGCAGAUGCUUCACCUCCUCAUAUGUCCAAAAACAUCAGUAGUGAUGCUGCUGAUGAAAGCUCGGUGGCUAACAGAUGAACAGAAUCCAUACAACAGUAUAUUUUUCUGUUUAUGACCAUCUGUCUGUCAAACAAUUACACUGAAAGUUGUUUUUAUUACAGCUACUUUUAGUUUAGUUUAACAGAUGGCAUGAUGGUAUGACUGGCAGGCUGCUCCUGGAGCACGAUCCUUAAAUGUAGUCAGCAAAAAGGCUCCAGGUGGCUAACUUCAUCUAUUUUAUUUUAGUGUGUAUUUUACCAAACCAAUGGAACUCAGAUUAACUGCUGUGUCACCUGUUGCUGUUGUCAUCAGUCAGACUGAAACAAACAAU